UGAUAACACGUAUCCAACCUGCCGUCUACUCUUGGACAGCCUUCUGAAAGGAAGAUUAAUACAAGAUGGCAUCAUGAGUCCGCAUGUUCACAUGAUUAAAGGUAUUCCGGUAGACGAUGGGGAUGCGUUCCAUUAGAUAGUAGGCGGGGUAACGGCCCACCUAGUCUUCGAUGGAUAGGGGUUCUGAGAGGAAGGUCCCCCACAUUGGAACUGAGACACGGUCCAA
rnacentral:rRNA from 1 species